ACACACUCUUCCCUCAGCCGAACUCUCUUUCCCCAACCUCUCGCACUCUCUCUCUCCUUCCCUCUGCAACCGCCAGAAACACAGCGUCUGACCACCACCACCAAUCAACAUAGCACCUAAAUCCGACCAAAACCUGAGCCCAGCACCGCUAUGCGUCAACUCUGGCCCCCGCACACGACCAUCUGAACUGCAGCACCACUGUCGCUACCUCUCUCUGAUUUUUGGCUACCACCUCGCCUCACUGCCUCCCUAGUUCGAUCCAGCUCUCAAAACCGACCCAAACCCAGUCGAAAUCACAACCAUGCAUCAAACCGAGCCGCCGCCUCUACACCCCAGAACAGCCGCGUCGUCUCUCAUCGGAGACGGCAUUCUCCGAUCAUUUCCUUACCACACCAUCACCACAGCUCCACUCAGCAAGCAACAAAGACAAAAACCCAGAAGUCUCGGCACCCACCAAGCCCGGACAACACCGUACGAGCAAAUCCGGAAUCUCGGCUUCUGCUGAGAUCGAUUCAUCUUUUCCGGCCUCGUCAGAACGCCUCCGCCACUAAGACUAGGACCAGCAUGACCUAAUCUACCCACCUGCAAGGCUCCGAAGUCUGGCACGGCUCAGAACCACUUCACGCGCGCUUGAGACACCCUAGCGCCGCCGCCGAGUUUCUAGGCCGACAGUUAGGUAAUUUUCGUGUUCCCCUCUAUGGUUAAAGCUUUUGGUUUUAGCAUAAUGAAAUUCCUAAUUAAUGUGUCGUUGAAUUUGGAGUAUUUGAGGAUUAUGAAUCUGCGAUAUCAAGCUUUGGAGAAGAGAGGAGCUAUUGGGAUGGUUUCGAUUGAAAUCGAAUAAGAGGUCCGAAUGAGUUGGUAGUGGUGGACUGCAGCAACUAGAAUUAGCCUCUGGUUGGGGAAAAGAAGAAAGGUACUUGGAAUAAAUGAGCUGAAAUGAGCUCAUAAAUGGAAAGAGGAGCUAGAGAACGUUGGAGGGAAACAAGAUGAGAUACAAAGGGAUGCACAAAUGAGCAGAAUUGAAGAAAAGAAGUUUUCCUGUUUCAACCAGGAAAUCCUGUCCAGGAAAGGAAAUGACUCCUAGGCUGUCCAAGAAGUGUGAUCGAAAAUAUUGAAGUGUCAUGAUGUUGAGAAGCUUCUUGAAGACAUUAGAAGAUGACAUGGCUUGAAGGUGACGCAUAAAGGCCCAAAAACUCUCAAGAGAAGUUGGAUUUUCGGCAAAAUGGAUAAAGGCCCAUGGAAAUUAGGGUUUGUGACGUAAUGGAGAUAUUUUUGGAGGAAUUAAAUCUGAUUUUGCCGUGGGAAAUCAUGAAGAUAAUGUGAAAAAUCAAGAAGAAAUCAAGGAAAAACGUUGGAGA